rnacentral:misc_RNA from 1 species
AGUACACACACACAUAUAUAAUUUGGGCAAUUUAGGCUAUGGGUGCGUUGCUUUAAAAAGGCCAUCGGCUCGACUCGCGCUUAAGGCCAUAGGGUACCCUUUCGUCUUAGUGUUGCUUUUUGCCUUGAUAACUAAGGGUGUUCGGUUCCAAUUCUGGUUCCGGUUCGGGUUCGGUUCCUAUCAAGAACCGGAACCGGAAUUGGAACUGAAGUUUGGUUCUUUUGAUUUUUAGGAACCAAAACCAGAAUCGAAUUUCGGUUUGAUUUCGGUUCCG